CCGGCGCGCGUCCGCGGCUCACCGGUCGUGCGAGUUCGGCUAUUCCGGUACAGACCGGAUCGGCCGACGGCCGAAUGCGAUCCGUUUUCGCGUCGUUGUGCGGACAUCAAUGCGUACGACGUUUUAAUUCCCGAGAACAUCAAAUAUUGUCGCGCUAUCGGUUUUCCGUCGGCUUUUCCGCCGCAUCGCGUCUCUUAUGCGCGCGUGUACAAAUAAAACGUCUCUUUUUCUCGACGCUUUCAAACGCUCUUAGCGUCUCCGUCCGACCCGAGAAACGAGCUCAAACGCGGGAAUUAGAGUUUUGUGGCGACGCGAUUUCGGUUGGAUUUCAUUACGAGUUUUGCCGUGUUGUUGCGGGAAGAACGCGUUUUUUUUUUUACAUCCCUACGGACCUCCCGAAUAAAUCCGAGGGCAUUCAAUUCUAUACACAGGGAGAUUUUUUCGUCAUGAACCAGCAAUUUUCUCGGAGGAUUCUAAGUGAAUUUGAUUUCUGUCUUUUUUUUUUUCUAAUCGUUGUAGAAUCGAUUAAGUUUUAUUUUUAAAACCAUUUUUAAUUUUUUACACCUACUUCAUGCGCCUUAAAUAAGUAUAUACUUUUGUUUUUCAAAUAGCAGCUCCUUUUUUUGAACACAAAUUUGAAUAGAGAAUAUUUUUCUAGAAAUGUUGAUAUGCAUAACACUAAUAUUCGAUUUACCGUUUAUGAGUUUUAGAGCCGUUUAAAAUUUAAACUGGAGGAGUAGGAAAGAUUUAAAGAUAUGCAAUGUAUUAGUUUAAUUAUUAUUUAUUUGUUCAUGAUAAAAAAAAAAUCACUCUGUAUAUAAUAUGGCGGUUUUCUUGUUCGACCUCUUUCCCGACUAUUUUUAUACUCAAAUGCCACGUUUUUACAUUAAAUUUCGGGUUUUAAAUACGCACAAAGAAAAUGAAAUACUUUAAUGACGACGGGGAAAAUUCGACUCUAGUGACGGAGCUCUGCUGUUCAUGGGUGUCUUUUUGGUGUUAUUACAAUAAUAAUACGACGGCGUCAUUAACGGUCGAAAAAAAAGCUAACAUAUAAUUAAGACGACAGUGGUUGGGCAUCAAAUAAAAAAAUGUAGAGAUUUUAAUCCUACGUUUAAAUUUAGAUUUUAUAAGAAUGAAUAAGGUUUUCAUGUACUAUUGCACUAACAGAACACGGUACCUAGUGUAUAGUAACCUCAAAAAAAAAAAAAAAAAAAAAUGAGACUUUGAGUUAUACUAAUUUGCCUACGAUAAAAAU